rnacentral:lncRNA from 1 species
CGUGUUCGCUCAAAACCAUGACAAUUGCAGUUUUAUUGUCUCCACUCAGGAAAAUGUGUGUCUGGAUCAUCUUGUGGCCCGAAUGGGGAGAAAAGAGUUACAUUCCUGCAGAGAGUGGCCCGCUGAGCUUAUGGGAAAGGCUGCAAGAAAAUCCCCAAACCAAGGUGUCCUGAAUUGUCUUUAAAAAGUGAUCGAGAUUAUGUUUUCAAUUUUGAAUAUACUGCUGAACCCCUGACAUGCAGAGCAAUCUAUCUGGACUGAAAACUUGGCCAGGGAUGGUCUAUGCCAAGCAGUGAAG